rnacentral:rRNA from 1 species
UACGUAGGGACCAAGCGUUGUUCGGAUUUACUGGGCGUAGAGGGCGCGUAGGCGGCAAUUCAAGUCAUCUGUGAAAUCUCCGGGCUUAACUCGGAAUGGUCAGGUGAUACUGCUUUGCUAGAGUGCAGAAGGGGCAAUCGGAAUUCUUGGUGUAGCGGUGAAAUGCGUAGAUAUUGGAAAGACCACCAAUGGCGAAGGCACUCUACUGGGCCAUUACUGACACUGAGAGACGAAAGCUAGGGGAGCAAAUGGG